rnacentral:lncRNA from 1 species
AUGUCAGCAGUGCCCAAGAAGACUGUGCCAGAAGAGAAAGUUCCAGUUCCGGUUUCACGGAAAGUGGCCGCUCCACCAGCUAAAGUGCCAGAAGAGCCAAAGAAAAUGAUCCGAGAAGAAAGAGUACCCGUUGCUGUUCCAAAAAGAAAAGUGUCACCACCACUAGAAGAAGAAGAACACUGGGCUAUGUCAGAGGAAGUGUCCGUUUCUCUUCACACAAAGGAGGAGAUUUCAUACACAGUGCCUGAUGUACCAGAAAGGGCUAUCAUUGAAGAAAGAGUACCAAUUUCUCCUCCUAAAAAAAUGCCAAGACCACCAGCCAAAGUGCCUGAAGUACGCAAGAUGGUUGUCCAAAAAGAAAAGGUGUAUAUUGAAGUUCCUCAGGAUGAGGAGGAAGAAGAAAUUCCGCAGUAUGAAGAAGUAACCAAAUAUGAGAAGGAAGUAAUCCAUUAUGAGGAGGAAGUCCAACAUUAUGAAGAAGUUAGUCAUUAUGAGGAAGAAGCUCCUCAGUAUGAAGAAGUUCCUCAAUAUGAAGAGGAAGAAGUCACUCGUGAAGAAGAAGAAGCUGCUUAUUAUGAAGAGGAAGUUCCUCAAUAUGAGGAGGAGGAGGCAGAAAUUCCCCAAUAUGAAGAGGAGGCUCCACCACCAGUUAGAGUGCCUGAGGUGCCCAAGAAGGCUGUUCCAGAGGAAAAAAUACCUGUGCUGAAGAAAAAGGAAGUUCCUCCAGCAAAAGGUAUAUCAUCACUUGAUGUUAGCAGGCAUUCUCUGAAUAUAUACUUACACCAUGUUUCAGAUGCUUCACUUGAGCAUUAUUUUUUCUUUCGGAAGGGGGCUCUGUGUUUGAUGUGUUUGUGCUGCUGUUUUCUGUUCUUCUCUGUUUUGAAUAGCUUGUGGGUUAUGUUUUAA